ACGUUAGCGACAGAAGAAGCACCGGCUAACUCCGUGCCAGCAGCCGCGGUAAUACGGGAGGGUGCGAGCGUUAAUCGGAAUUACUGGGCGUAAAGCGCAUGCAGGUGGUUUGUUAAGUCAGAUGUGAAAGCCCGGGGCUCAACCUCGGAAUUGCAUUUGAAACUAGGCAGACUAGAGUACUGUAGAGGGGGGUAGGAAUUUCAGGUGUAGCGGUGAAAUAGCGUAGAGAUCUGAAGGAAUACCGGUGGCGAAGGCGGCCCCCUCGGACAGAUACUGACACUCAGAUGCGAAAGCGUGGGGAGCAAACAGGAUUAGAUACCCUGGUAG
rnacentral:rRNA from 1 species